GACGAACGCUGGCGGCGUGCUUAACACAUGCAAGUCGAACGGAAAGGCCUGGCAUUUGUGGGGUGCGCAAGUGGCGAAAGGGUGAGUAACACGCGAGUAACCUGCCCUUGACUGUGGGGUAACUUCAGGAAACUGGGGCUAAUACCGGAUAGGAACUCCUGCAGCAUGGUGGGGGUUGGUAAAUUUCGGCGGUUGGGGAUGGACUGGCGGCCUAUCAGCUUGUUGGUGGGGUAGUGUCGUACCAAGGCUUUGAGGGGUAGCCGGCCUGCGAGGGUGACCGGCCCCAUUGGGACUGAGAUGCGGCCCGUACUCCUACGGGAGGAAGCAGUGGGGAAUAUUGCGCAAUGGGCGGAAGCCUGAUGCAGCGACGCCGCGUCCGGGAUGACGGCCUUUGGGUUGUAACCCUCUUGAGCCUGUGAAGAAGAGUGAGUGACGGUAAUGGGUAAGGAAGCAACGGCUAACUACGUG
rnacentral:rRNA from 1 species